UCCUACGGGANGCAGCAGUGGGGAAUUUUGGACAAUGGGGGAAACCCUGAUCCAGCCAUUCCGCGUGAGUGAAGAAGGCCUUCGGGUUGUAAAGCUCUUUCGCAAGGGAAGAAAAGAUACAGGUGAAUAGCUUGUGUUGAUGACGGUACCUUGAUAAGAAGCACCGGCUAACUACGUGCCAGCAGCCGCGGUAAUACGUAGGGUGCAAGCGUUAAUCGGAAUUACUGGGCGUAAAGCGUGCGCAGGCUGUUUUGUAAGUCAGAUGUGAAAUCCCCGAGCUCAACUUGGGAACUGCGUUUGAAACUACAAGACUAGAAUAGGUCAGAGGGGGGUAGAAUUCCACGUGUAGCAGUGAAAUGCGUAGAGAUGUGGAGGAAUACCAAUGGCGAAGGCAGCCCCCUGGGAUCAUAUUGACGCUCAUGCACGAAAGCGUGGGGAGCGAACAGGAUUAGAUACCCUGGUAGUCCACGCCCUAAACGAUGUCAACUAGUUGUUGGUGGAGUAAAAUCCAUGAGUAACGUAGCUAACGCGUGAAGUUGACCGCCUGGGGAGUACGGUCGCAAGAUUAAAACUCAAAUGAAUUGACGGA
rnacentral:rRNA from 1 species